rnacentral:pre_miRNA from 1 species
CAGAUACUUCCUCCAUCCAAAAAAGAUGUCUCAAGUUUGUCAAAAUUUGUAUGUAUCUAGACAUGACUUAGUGUAUAGAUGCAUUCAAAUUUAGUCAAAGUUGAGACAUCGUUUGUUGCAUACAAAUUUUGACAAACUUGAGACAUCUUUUGUUGGACGGAGGAAGCAGUAA